rnacentral:rRNA from 1 species
GGUUACUGCUAUCGGUGUUCGCCUAAGCCAUGCGAGUCAUAUGUUCGUAAGAACAUGGCGUACUGCUCAGUAACACGUGGAUAACCUGCCCUUGGGUCCGGCAUAACCCCGGGAAACUGGGGAUAAUUCCGGAUAACGCACAUAUGCUGGAAUGCUUUUUGCGUAAAAUGGAUUCGUCUGCCCAAGGAUGGGUCUGCGGCCUAUCAGGUAGUAGUGGGUGUAAUGUACCUACUAGCCUACGACGGGUACGGGUUGUGAGAGCAAGAGCCCGGAGAUGGAUUCUGAGACAUGAAUCCAGGCCCUACGGGGCGCAGCAGGCGCGAAAACUUUACAAUGCGGGAAACCGUGAUAGGGGACACCGAGUGCCAGCAUCCUAUGCUGGCUGUCCGGGUGUGUAAAAUACACCUGUUAGCAAGGGCCGGGCAAGACCGGUGCCAGCCGCCGCGGUAACACCGGCGGCCCGAGUGGUGAUCGUGAUUAUUGGGUCUAAAGGGUCCGUAGCCGGUUUGGUCAGUCCUCCGGGAAAUCUGACAGCUCAACUGUUAGGCUAUCGGAGGAUACUGCCAGACUUGGAACCGGGAGAGGUAAGAGGUACUACAGGGGUAGGAGUGAAAUCUUGUAAUCCCUGUGGGACCACCUGUGGCGAAGGCGUCUUACCAGAACGGGUUCGACGGUGAGGGACGAAAGCUGGGGGCACGAACCGGAUUAGAUACCCGGGUAGUCCCAGCCGUAAACGAUGCUCGCUAGGUGUCAGGCAUGGCGCGACCGUGUCUGGUGCCGCAGGGAAGCCGUGAAGCGAGCCACCUGGGAAGUACGGCCGCAAGGCUGAAACUUAA